rnacentral:lncRNA from 1 species
GAUUUAGAUAUGAUCUAAGAUUAUGAUCAGAUCUGAUAUAAUUUUGAUUAGAUCUAAAUUUAAAUAUAUAUAAUAUGUGAUGAGAUUAGAUGAUCUGAUUAGUAAGUACUUUGAUUGGAUUGAUCAUCAAGCCGUCCGGUCAUAGGAGCAAGAAGAUUUUAAAGACCAUCUCUUUCCAUUCGAUGGGGUGCUCUUACGGUAUGUAGGGGUGCCAUAUGAUUAGAUCCCAUGA